GACGAACGCUGGCGGCGUGCCUAAUACAUGCAAGUAGAACGCACAGUUUAUACCGUAGCUUGCUACACCAUACACUGUGAGUUGCGAACGGGUGAGUAACGCGUAGGUAACCUGCCUGGUAGCGGGGGAUAACUAUUGGAAACGAUAGCUAAUACCGCAUAAUAUUAAUUAUUGCAUGAUAAUUGAUUGAAAGAUGCAAUUGCAUCACUACCAGAUGGACCUGCGUUGUAUUAGCUAGUAGGUGAGGUAACGGCUCACCUAGGCGACGAUACAUAGUCGACCUGAGAGGGUGAUCGGCCACACUGGGACUGAGACACGGCCCAGACUCCUACGGGAGGCAGCAGUAGGGAAUCUUCGGCAAUGGACGAAAGUCUGACCGAGCAACGCCGCGUGAGUGAAGAAGGUUUUCGGAUCGUAAAGCUCUGUUGUAAGAGAAGAACGGGUGUGAGAGUGGAAAGUUCACACUGUGACGGUAUCUUACCAGAAAGGGACGGCUAACUACGUG
rnacentral:rRNA from 1 species